rnacentral:misc_RNA from 1 species
UUAGGUUCAGCGGGUAGUCUCACCCGAUUUGAGGUCAAGGUUCGUGGGUCGAGCAAGCUCGAACGAUGUCUCCCAUGAGACGGUUGGAAGCAGGUUCCCAAGGAAACAGAACAAAUCCCAGACGUAGAAACAUCUUAUCACGCCUGGGGAUCGGCAAAGGGGACCCCACUAAUGCAUUUAAGAGGAGCUGGCUUUUUGCA